rnacentral:misc_RNA from 1 species
GCUACUACCGAUUGAAUGGUUUAGUGAGGACUCCUGAUUGGCGCCGCCGCCCCGGCAACGGAGCAGCGGACUGCCGAAAAGUUGUUCAAACUUGAUCAUUUAGAGGAAGUAAAGGUCGUAACAAGGUUUCCGUAGGUGAACCUGCAGAAGGAUCAUUCCGCAUCGCUCCUACCGAUUUCGAGUGUUCAGGUGAACCUUCUGGACUGAGUCGCAAGACCCGGGAAGUUAGGUAAAUCUUAACACUUAGAGGAAGGAGAAGUCGUAACAAGGUUUCCGUAGGUGAACCUGCAGAAGGAUCA